GAACGCACAUUGCGCCCCCUGGCCUUCCGGGGGGCAUGCCUGUUCGAGCGUCUCCAGGACGAUUCCCUCACGCCGGCGAUUGGCGUGGUCAUGGCGGAGGUGGCGGGCCCGAGCCGGGCGGCCACCCCGCUGGAAUCGAUGGGCGGACGCCUGCCGCGUGGCCGAGCGUGAUAUGACACAUUGGCGCACCCGCGCGGCGAGGUUGCCAGCCCGGGCCCCUGUGUGGGGCGGGGAGAGCAAAGACAUUGGAACUCCUCGAAUCAGGCAGGGAUACCCGCUGAACUUAAG
rnacentral:misc_RNA from 1 species